UACCAGCACCCCGAGUGGUAGGGACGUUUAUUGGGCCUAAAGCGUCCGUAGCCGGUUCUACAAGUCUUCCGUUAAAUCCACCUGCUUAACAGAUGGGCUGCGGAAGAUACUAUGGAGCUAGGAGGCGGGAGAGGCAAGCGGUACUCGAUGGGUAGGGGUAAAAUCCGUUGAUCCAUUGAAGACCACCAGUGGCGAAGGCGGCUUGCCAGAACGCGCUCGACGGUGAGGGAUGAAAGCUGGGGGAGCAAACCGG
rnacentral:rRNA from 1 species